UCGCACAUAUAUUCAUAGACAUCAAUCUGGGACGAAUUCCAUAGAACAUCAGAGAUAUAUAAUAUCGGCUGGGGAGGAGUUCGAUCAAGAGAAAAAGAAUAUUAUAAUUCUUUUGACACGGCUGCGACAUAAGGAAAAAAGAAGAAAAGCCGAUUGGUUCAAGUUUCAAGGCCGCGAUUCAAGAUUCGAUUACGGGUCGGAAAUGAAGUUUUCCUCAAAAGCAUUCUAGUCUCUACCGAGACUGUAGCAAAAGAAAGGGUCCAGAGCUUGGACCCAAAUGAUCUAGCUGGUGGUACAGAGAUUGGACAAGAAUGAAGUGAGGUAAACGUUCAAGUACCAAUAAAAAAGAUGAAAACUUGGUAAGAUCAUAUGGUUUAUUUUCUACAAUUCAAGAUUGUAUUGGUGCAUCCAUCGCAUGGCCAUAUCCAUUCAUCUCGGUGGUCCAUGAGGAUUGAGGACGCAUGAUGACUCAAGAUUUUAUGCUUCUUAUUUUUUUAAUUGCUUUUAAUUUCUUCGUUAAAUGUUAAGACUUUAUGUUAGAUAAUGUUAUAACAUAUUUAUGGUUAGUGUUUUUGUUAUGAACAUGCUUAUUUGAAAUAUAAUGAAGUUUUAUUUCUU
rnacentral:lncRNA from 1 species